AGCCGUCUCUCGUCUGUCUCAUUUUGUUUUCGCCGCAGCCCCCAAGAGUCAAGACACAAGACUCAUCACCAGUUCUCCGCCAUACGCUAGUGCCUCACCAGUAGUCUGCCAGUCACGACGGCUCACUCCCUCACUUGUCAAUCGCGUCGUGCAAGUUUUGGCUCAAGAUUUUUCUGUUUGCUUCUUGUUAAUUGUUCUGCUUGAUCAAGAUUUUUGCUUCUAAUUGUUCUGUUUGGUGUCUUCUUAGUUCUCUACUAUGCAAAAUUUCUGGUUAUAUGAGUAGCAAGAGUCAGUAGAUACUGCACAGAAGUGUUGUUAUAUGUGUUCCAUUUUAAGACUUUAAGCUAAAUCUGUAGUUAUAUGAGUAGCAAAAGUUAGUAGAUUUUGUUUUCUGUUUGCUUAGUUCAGUAGACAUUGGUUAGAUGAGUUGCAAUUUUCUACUCAUGUGAAAUUUCCGGUUCUCUACUCAUCUCUAUUCAUGUGAAAUUUCUUGGUGUCUUCUUAGUUAUUUACUUGAAUUUAUGUUUGGACUUUGGACUUGUUAAUCUUAAGGUUGCUACUACUUCGUAUUGUUAUUAAUGUUGUCAACUGUAAUUGUACUCAACUGUGUCAUAUAUAGCAGCUUUAAAAUGUUAUGGGUGUUCUCUUUCUUUUUAGGAUUAUGUGUGUUGUAGUUGUUAUAGGAGCUGUGUCGUUAUAGCAGUUGUGUGCAUGUGUUGUUAUAGCAGCUGGAUUUGGUCUAAAGUUUCUCUCUUUAGUUGAAAGUAGCUGUGCUAUUGAUUUAGUGCCUAUUAUUUCCAUUGAUUUUGCAUUGCAGAACUUAAGGAACUUUCUGCCUACUGCCUAGUUUGUCUGAACUUAAGGAUUUGGUCCGAAGCUGCUUUCACGAGAAGGUGAUUUUAAUUUUCAGCAUUCAACACUUUUAAUAUUCAGCAUUUAAUACUUUUAAUUUUAGUUUUACCUUAUCGGAUAAACCGAUAACCGAAUCGAUAAUGAUCAAUAACCAAUAAAUCGAUAAUUGAUAACCAAUAUCUUAUCUUAUCGGUUUGGUUAUCGGGUUAUGAUAUUUGUAAAUCGAAAACCGAUAAUAUUUAAAACCUAACCGAACCGACCGAUGUCCACUCCUAAGACGAAGCGGGUUGCGAGUCUAUGCGGUUGUAUAUUUUGUGAUGUUCCUUGUGCAUGUGGAUUAACAAAAAUUUUGUGUUUAAUUCGUCAAACCGACCAAAAAGGAAGGUGGAGUUUGAAUUUCUUCUGAAUUAAUAUUUUAAAGUCUUACUUUAAAUAGCUUGCUGUAAAAAGUAGUUCUCCAUGUGUUAAAUGAAUAUUAUUUUAUAUCAAGUCAUUAUAAAACACAUUUUAUACUAUUGAAAAAUAAUAAUGUUAUUUCAAAUGGUUUCUUGAUUUGGAAUUUCACGAUAGAUAAAUGAGGCCAAUAGCUUUUUAUCAAUAUAAUAAUAAUAAUAUAGAAUAAUAAGUAAUAUUGAUAAGCAUAUUUCUGUAAAAUAAUUGAAAUGCAUUUAAAGCUAUUUAUAUAUGAUAAAUUAAAAAGCAUAUUUACAUAAAAAAAACUAACGUCAAAAAUGAAAUGUAGAGAGUUAUCAUGUGUAAAUGACUAUUUUAUCAUUUGUACCGAUUAUACACAAUUUAUGCAGUUGUAUAGAUGAUUAUUUUAUCGAUAAAUGUGAAUGUUUGGAUAAUGAUGUACUGUGAUGCAAAUACAUUCAUGAGUAUUAGAAAUAGUAUUAUAGUACUUAAGAAACAAAAAAACUUUUAAUUUUUUGAUUGAUUAAAUUGAAUUUCAUCCAAAAUAUAAAAAGGAAAUAAGCAAAUAAAAUUAAAAAAAUUAUGCGGGGUGAGGCGGGUGGACGCGGGUUUGUGUGGGGGGUGUACACGGGUGAAAAUACAAUGCGGGGCGGGGAGAGGCGGGGCAGGUUGCGAUCUUCGCGGGUUUAUGCGGGUUUGCGCCACACCCGCACCGCAUUGCACCACUUGCCAUCUCUAAGCUUGCAUAUCAGGUGGUAAUGUUGUGGACUCCCGACUCCCAAGUCCCUUAGUCAACAAGUCUAGCGCAUGUUCUUUUGUUGGGACAUACACAGGUUUAAUCAAUCCUUCUUGUACCUUUUCCCUUAUAAAAUGACAAUCAAUCUCUAUAUGUUUUGUUCGCUCAUGAAACACUGGAUUGCUAGCUAUAUGCAUUGCUGCUUUGCUGUUAGUGAACAACUUAAUUGGAGUGAACAAUUCAACUCCCAUCUCUUUGAAAACUCCCAAUAACCAAAUCAAUUCAAAGGAAGUUAGUGUCAUACUCUUAUAUUCUGAUUAUGCUGAACUCCUUGCUACUGUAUCUGCUUCUUUGACUUCCAUGAAACUAAAGACUCUACAAAUUACACUAACUAACAUGUUACUGAUUUUUUUUGAGUUUGGACAACUUGCCCUGUCUGCAUCACAGUAUGCUCUCAAAGUCAUAUCACCAUCUGCACUCAUAAGAAUGCCUAAUUCUGGUUCAUCUUUUACAUAUCUUACCAAUCUAUAUGUUGCCUCUAUGUGAGACUUCUUAGGGGCUUGAAUAAACUAGCUUAAAGUCUGCACUGUAUAGGCAAUGUAAGGCCUAGUUAGUGUCAAAUAAAAAAGCUUUCCUAUAAGCCUUUAAUAUCCUUUCACAUAUGUGAGUGCUGGGUUCUUGCAGGUUGCAUUGUGUAUGGUAUUCAACUGUUGUCAUCUUCCUGUUCUGUUCCAUUGGUGUAAUUGCAGGCUUAGAUCCUGCUAAUCCCAAUUGUGCUAUAAUCUCCGCUACAUAUUUCCUUUGACAUAGUAGUAUGCCCUUUUGUGAUCUACUAACUUCAAUCCCAAAGAAAUUUUCAAAAGGCCUAAGUCCUUAAUUUUGAAGGCCUUGUGAAGUGUGGUCUUGGCUUCUUGAAUCAAGUUGCAUCAUUUCCUAUGAUAAGAAGAUCAUCAACAUAAAUAAGGAUGAUGACAAGCUUUGUAGUUUUAUUUAGAGUGAACAGAGAAUGAUCAUGUUUGCUUUGCACAAGGUCUGCCUUCAACAAUGCUUCAGUAAGUUUCAAGUUCCACUGUCUUGAUGCUUGUUUAAGCUCAUAUAAAGAUUUGUAUAGUCGACAAGCCUUGUUCCUCCCUUGACUACCAAAACCUUGUGGAAGCUGCAUGUAAACUUCCUCCUCAAGAUCACCUUGAAGCAAGGCAUUGUAAAGAUCAAUCUGAUAAAGGUUCCAUUCUUCACGAGCAAUAAAUGCCCUCACUGUGACCAUUUUAACUACCGGAGAAAAUGACUCUUGAUAGUCUAGUCCUUCUAGUUGGCUAUAACCCUUUACCACUAGCCUAGCCUUGAACAUUUCAAUCUUCAUGUUUGGUUUGUACUUGAUCUUGUAUGCCCACCAACUUGAUCUUGUACGCCCACCUACAUCCAAUAGGAUCUCCCAGGUCUUUUUCAAAAGAAGGGCAUCAACUUCUGUCUUAUAGCUUCAAUCCACCUAGGAUCCUUCAUUACUUCAAUAUAAGAUACAAGCUCCACCUCAGAUGUAGCAGCCAAGUAUGACUGAUAUUUUGCUGAAAGAGAAGUGUAAUUUUAGGUAGUUGGACAUGGGAUAGACACAGUUAGAGGAUGGACUUCCUUUCCCUGGAUAGACAUAAUCUUUUAGCCAUGUAGGUGGUCUUGGAUCUCUUAAGGAUCUCCUCAGUUGGGUUGCUGGAACAUCAGGCUCAUUGGCAGGGAAAUCAUCAUGUUGAACCUGUUCUGCAGAUACAUAUUCAUCUACUGCUGCUGGCUGAUUGUCAUAAGUUGGUUCAUAAUGCAAUGGUUCUUGCACUACAACAAAUUUGACCUAACGCUACAUUAGUUUUAGACAAUGCUCAAAAACUGUUGCCAAAAAUAUUUACGGCAACGCUUUUUAAGGAGUGAUCAUUGCUGAGAGCUUUUGGCCACAAAAUUUAGGCAAUACUUAUAAAGCGUUCCUUUUGAAUAUAAAUACUACACUUUUUAGUUUUUACUAUUGUCAUAUUAUAUGAUAUUUGACUUAAACAUCGGUAAUGAAACGCUUUUGAGUGGUGUUUUUUUUAUAACUCUAAAGCAACACGUUAUAAGGGUACUCAAAAAAUUUGCACCAUAAAUUUUCACUAAAAAUUUCAUAAUAUAUUCAUUAAAAAUUGCCCGCUAAAAUUUCACAACUUUCCCACAAAAAAAAUCAAAACCUUAAGAAAAGACUCACCACUCGCUAGCUCUCACUAAUGCCACUAUCCCUUUUUCUAUCGGGCACAAGAGUGGAAUGUAUUCCGACGAUGACUCCGAUGAUGGACUACCAAGACGACAUGUUGUCGUCGGCGUUGGCUAUUGUUGCGACUAUGAUAUGCUUCAAGGUAUUCGGUGGAGUUCAUGUCAGAUUUGCUGAGGCUUUACCUUGAGCAACUGGACCUCUUUCACCGUAAGAAACAUUACUGUCUUCGAUUUUGAUUAUGAUGCUUCGUAUCUCUUUACUCCUUUCCUGCUUUCGAUCCUUAAUCUCACAAAAAUCCUAUCCCUAAAUCUUUUUUUGUUUUUGUUUUCAAAUCUUCAUUCUGUUCUCAGAUCAAUAUUUCAAUACCUCUUUAUUUAUUCAUUUAGGGUUCAUUUGUAGAUCUCUCGAGUGUUGAAGUAGUCUUUAUAUAUUUCGAUAUUUAGAUCUGGAAUUUUGGAGUUUUGAGUUGUGGAGGUAGCUUAAAAUCGUUGCUUAAUUCAAUUUAAGUGGGUUUUCGGAUAUUGGUGUGAAAUUUGAAUGGGUUUUCAAAUUAAGACUUUUUACAAUUUGUUCCAAGCUGUUAGGUACAUGUAAUUCUUGCAAAGCCUCCAAUUCAUAUAUGUUCCUUGGAGUUUAGACAAUUUCUUAUAACAAUUUGAUAGGAUUGCUGAUCUGUGUGUGGACUUGGUAGUAGGCUUGAGUUUUGUGGGUUAUUUAGAGAGGAGAAUAUUGCAAGGUGAGAUUUGUUUUUUUUUUCCAUAAACCUCGCAACUUAUCUUCAACCCCUGAAACUUGGAAAACAUAGCAAUUGUGGUUGCGCCCUGAAUUGUUACUCGCACGCCUCUUUUUACUUCGGACAUAGGCAAAAAAUACUUACAAUAACUUAGUUGUAGACAAUUCAUACUUUUAAGAACUCAAAGGACUGUCGAAGAACUAUAAAUGCAUAUCGUAUAGAUAUUCAUGCUGAAUAUAAAAUAUUUUCUUGUGUUUAUGCACUUUGUGUUUAGCCAUAAUUUCUCACUUUGAGUAUUAUUGUUUGCAAUGCAAUUGCAAGGUGCAUCUAUCUUCACAUGGUGAAAUUUAUGCUAAGAUCUCAGGCUACUGAAGAUAACAUUACUGAUGUUUCAGUUUGAUAAUAACAUAUUCUCUUAAUCUUUCCAACCUAAUCACUAGAAAAGAGAAAAGGGAGAUUUGUGUAUUUUGCAAAAUUAUUUGUACUGUUAUCUCACUGACUUCAUAUGAAGCCAAGGCAGAAAGGUUUCCUGACUUAUAGAUUAAGAUUAGUGAAUUUUGUUAUAUAUUUUGUAUUGUGUUUAAGACCAGUUAUUGAACUUAAUCUAAUUGUGCUUAGAAAAAUGAAGCAUGUGUCCGGGAAGUAGCCAGAAUCAAGAAGCAUAUGUUAAAAGUACAGGUACUUUAUACCUUUUCUUUCUUUUAUUUUUCAGAAGUUUUUCUUUUUAUGGUGUAACCAGACCGGACCGGCCCGGUUCCAACGGUAUUUUUUUUUUAAAAUCUGACUUUGUGGGGCCCACAAUAAAGUUGGCGACGAAAAGAUUUCAUUCAGAUCCGUUGGCCAACGGAAUUAUUUGCAAAAUUGGCCAUUUUUUGUUUAUUUUCUUGUAUUU
rnacentral:lncRNA from 1 species